rnacentral:rRNA from 1 species
UACGUAGGGUGCGAGCGUUAAUCGGAAUUACUGGGCGUAAAGCGUGCGCAGGCGGUGAUGUAAGACCGAUGUGAAAUCCCCGGGCUUAACCUGGGAACUGCAUUGGUGACUGCAUGGCUGGAGUGCGGCAGAGGGGGAUGGAAUUCCGCGUGUAGCAGUGAAAUGCGUAGAUAUGCGGAGGAACACCGAUGGCGAAGGCAAUCCCCUGGGCCUGUACUGACGCUCAUGCACGAAAGCGUGGGAGCAAACAGG